rnacentral:rRNA from 1 species
GAUGAACGCUGGCGGCGUGCUUAACACAUGCAAGUCGAACGGAAAGGCUCCUGCUUGCAGGGGUACUCGAGUGGCGAACGGGUGAGUAACACGUGGGUGAUCUGCCCUGCACUUCGGGAUAAGCUUGGGAAACUGGGUCUAAUACCGGAUAGGACCGCAUUUUGGAUGGUGUGGUGGAAAGUUUUUUCGGUGUGGGAUGAGCUCGCGGCCUAUCAGCUUGUUGGUGGGGUAACGGCCUACCAAGGCGUCGACGGGUAGCCGGCCUGAGAGGGUGUACGGCCACAUUGGGACUGAGAUACGGCCCAGACUCCUACGGGAGGCAGCAGUGGGGAAUAUUGCACAAUGGGCGCAAGCCUGAUGCAGCGACGCCGCGUGGGGGAUGACGGCCUUCGGGUUGUAAACUCCUUUCGCUAGGGACGAAGAGUAAUUGACGGUACCUGGAGAAGAAGCACCGGCUAACUACGUG